UAGGGAAUCUUCGGCAAUGGGGGCAACCCUGACCGAGCAACGCCGCGUGAGUGAAGAAGGUUUUCGGAUCGUAAAGCUCUGUUGUAAGAGAAGAACGUGUGUGAGAGUGGAAAGUUCACACAGUGACGGUAACUUACCAGAAAGGGACGGCUAACUACGUGCCAGCAGCCGCGGUAAUACGUAGGUCCCGAGCGUUGUCCGGAUUUAUUGGGCGUAAAGCGAGCGCAGGCGGUUUAAUAAGGCUGAAGUUAAAGGCAGUGGCUUAACCAUUGUUCGCUUUGGCAACGGUUAAACUUGAGUGCAGAAGUGGAGAGGGGAAUUCCAUGUGUAGCGGUGAAAUGCGUAGAUAUAUGGAGGAACACCGGUGGCGAAAGCGGCUCUCUGGUCUGUAACUGACGCUGAGGCUCGAAAGCGUGGGGAGCAAACAGG
rnacentral:rRNA from 1 species